rnacentral:rRNA from 1 species
CAAAAACAUGUCCUCUUGGGUUUAAUAAGAGGUUUGACCUGCCCGGUGAAAAUUUAACGGCCGCGGUACUUUGACCGUGCAAAGGUAGCAUAAUCAUUAGUCUUUUAAAAGGAGGCUGGAAUGAAGGGUUUGACGAGGAAUUAACUGUCUCAUUUUUUUUGAAUUUAAAAUUUAACUUUUUAGUCAAAAGGCUAAAAUUUUAUUGGUAGACGAGAAGACCCUAUAGAGCUUUAUAUUUAUUUGACUAUUUAUAUUAUAUUAUUUUUGAUUAGUUUGAAUAAUUAUUUUGUUGGGGUGNCANAAAUAUANNAUUAACUUCUUUAUUUNAAAUACNUUGAUUUNUGAUUAANAGAUCCAUUAUUAUUGAUUGAUAGANUAAGUUACCUUAGGGAUAACAGCGNAAUCCUUUCCCAGAGUUCAUAUUUACGGAAGGGCUUGCGACCUCNAUGNNGGAUUAAGAUAACA